GAUGAAGAACGUAGUGAAAUGCGAUACGUAAUGUGAAUUGCAGAAUUCAGUGAAUCAUCGAAUCUUUGAACGCAUAUUGCGCUCUUUGGUAUUCCGAAGAGCAUGCUUGUUUGAGUAUCAGUAAACACCUCAACCUCUUCUUGAUUUUUCAAAAGGAGGGUGGACUUGAGCUAUCCCAACAACCUUUACCGGUCGGCGGGCGGCUUGAAAUGCAGGUGCAGCUGGACUUUUAUCUGAGCUAAAAGCAUAUCUAUUUAGUCCUCGUCAAACAGGAUUAUUACUUUUGCUGCAGCUAACAUAAAGGAUAAUUGUCCUCUUUGCUGACUGAUGCAGGAUUUUACGACACUUUAUGUGUUGUUCAACUCGAUCUCAAAUCAAGUAAGACUACCCACUGAACUUAAGCAUAUCAAUAAGCGGAGGA
rnacentral:misc_RNA from 1 species